rnacentral:rRNA from 1 species
AGAGUUUGAUCAUGGCUCAGAUUGAACGCUGGCGGCAGGCCUAACACAUGCAAGUCGAGCGGUAACAGGGGGUGCUUGCACCCCGCUGACGAGCGGCGGACGGGUGAGUAAUGCAUAGGAAUCUGCCCGAUAGUGGGGGAUAACCUGGGGAAACCCAGGCUAAUACCGCAUACGUCCUACGGGAGAAAGGGGGCUCCGGCUCCCGCUAUGGGAUGAGCCUAUGUCGGAUUAGCUAGUUGGUGAGGUAACGGCUCACCAAGGCCACGAUCCGUAGCUGGUCUGAGAGGAUGAUCAGCCACAUCGGGACUGAGACACGGCCCGAACUCCUACGGGAGGCAGCAGUGGGGAAUAUUGGACAAUGGGGGAAACCCUGAUCCAGCCAUGCCGCGUGUGUGAAGAAGGCCCUCGGGUUGUAAAGCACUUUCAGCGAGGAAGAACGCCUAGCGGUUAAUACCCGCUAGGAAAGACAUCACUCGCAGAAGAAGCACCGGCUAACUCCGUGCCAGCAGCCGCGGUAAUACGGAGGGUGCAAGCGUUAAUCGGAAUUACUGGGCGUAAAGCGCGCGUAGGUGGCUUGAUAAGCCGGUUGUGAAAGCCCCGGGCUCAACCUGGGAACGGCAUCCGGAACUGUCAAGCUAGAGUGCAGGAGAGGAAGGUAGAAUUCCCGGUGUAGCGGUGAAAUGCGUAGAGAUCGGGAGGAAUACCAGUGGCGAAGGCGGCCUUCUGGACUGACACUGACACUGAGGUGCGAAAGCGUGGGUAGCAAACAGGAUUAGAUACCCUGGUAGUCCACGCCGUAAACGAUGU